rnacentral:rRNA from 1 species
UACAUGGGGUGCAAACGUUGCUCGGAAUUAUUGGGCGUAAAGGGCUCGUAGGCGGCCAACUAAGUCAGACGUGAAAUCCCUCGGCUUAACCGGGGAACUGCGUCUGAUACUGGAUGGCUUGAGGUUGGGAGAGGGAUGCGGAAUUCCAGGUGUAGCGGUGAAAUGCGUAGAUAUCUGGAGGAACACCGGUGGCGAAGGCGGCAUCCUGGACCAAUUCUGACGCUGAGGAGCGAAAGCCAGGGGAGCAAACGGG